rnacentral:rRNA from 1 species
UACAGAGGGGGCGAGCGUUGUUCGGAAUUACUGGGCGUAAAGGGCGCGUAGGCGGCCUUCUAAGUCGAACGUGAAAUCCCCGGGCCCAACCCGGGAACUGCGUCCGAUACUGGGAGGCUUGAAUCCGGGAGAGGGAUGUGGAAUUCCAGGUGUAGCGGUGAAAUGCGUAGAUAUCUGGAGGAACACCGGUGGCGAAGGCGGCAUCCUGGACCGGUAUUGACGCUGAGGCGCGAAAGCUAGGGGAGCAAACGGG